AUAAGGUGGGACACAGAGCAGCCUUUUGUCCUCUUAAAGAGUACAAUCUAUGGUACUGCUUUUAUUGCCAGGCUGUAGCUCCACACAAAGGGGAUAAUUGUCCAAAUAAGGACAAUCCCAAAGAUGGAUACAGGAAACCAAGGAGAAACUAAUUCAGAGUAAAGUUCAGAGA